rnacentral:rRNA from 1 species
CCUACGGGUGGCAGCAGUGAGGAAUAUUUGUCAAUGGACGAGAGUCUGAACCAGCCAAGUCGCGUGAAGGAUGACUGCCCUUUGGGUUGUAAACUUCUUUUAUAUGGGAAUAAAACGUUCCACGUGUGGGAUUUUGUAUGUACCCUAUGAAUAAUGAUCGGCUAACUCCGUGCCAGCAGCCGCGGUAAUACGGAGGAUCCGAGCGUUAUCCGGAUUUAUUGGGUUUAAAGGGAGCGUAGGUGGAUUGUUAAGUCAGUUGUGAAAGUUUGCGGCUCAACCGUAAAAUUGCAGUUGAAACUGGGAGUCUGGAGUACAGUAGAGGUGGGCGGAAUUCGUGGUGUAGCGGUGAAAUGCUUAGAUAUCACGAAGAACUCCGAUUGCGAAGGCAGUUCACUGGACUGCAACUGACACUGAGGCUCGAAAGUGUGGGUAUCAAACAGGAUUAGAUACCCGUGUAGUC